UCAUCAUUAUAAAAGGAGAGCCAGCACUAGCCAGCAGAGGAAGUUUCUGGGCAAAGUUGGACAUCCCAAAGAUGGCGUAGAUGAACAUGACGAGGAAAAGCAGGAGGCCGAUGUUGAACAGCGCAGGAAGGGACAUCAUCAGAGCAAAGAGCAGCGUGCGGAUCCCCUUGGCGCCUUUGAUCAGGCGUAGGAUUCGUCCAAUCCUGGCCAGGCGAAUGACUCGGAACAGGAUGCUACUCCCAGUCUUCACUGAGAAACUGCUCUAGCCAGUGAACGACAGUGAAUGAAGAAAUGCCUGGCUGCUCGAGACACCGAGAGUGACAGCUGCGUGCUCAGCUCAGGAGGACGUUCAUAUCCUUCUUCAAGGCUCUAGGAACAAAGCGUGGUGAUGACAGGAAGACAGUAAGAGCCCAGGACAUAGGGAUGGGAGCUAUGAAGCUCUGUGCUGUACCAAGGACACAAUCAAUGUAAUCGCGGCACCAUAACAGAGGUCAGCAGUGGGUUCGUGCAAUACUGAGCGGGUCAGCAUUCAUUCAUUCAUAUACAGAGAGGGCCCAUGCAGCCACAUCUUCUCUGCUGAAUUAUGAGCUACCGAUGGAUUGUGGGAGAAACAAACAUUCUCUUCAGCCUUGGGCCCACUUCUGAGUUCACUAGGUUAAAGUGAGUAGUCGCUAAUCCAUGGACA
rnacentral:lncRNA from 1 species